CAGAAUACGUUGAAAUUAAAGAGCUAUGUAUAUCCACUUGCAUACCAUAUUUGUCGAGUAGCCACGCCUAACUUUGCUGACUGUUGACAAAAGUGUUUUCCAAAGUAUACUUCAUGUAAAUCUACGCACAUACAUAUAUAUGUAUAUAAAUCAAUCAUAAUGUGUGACUUUCCAACAAAACUCCUUCAGUGCCCACAAAACCUAUGCAUUAAGUAUGAAUACAUGUCAUUGUUUGACCAUUUUUGUCCGCAUUUUUUCAUUCCUCUAUCCCCAUGGUAACAAAAUUACAUUAACUGGCUCUCAAUAGCAAUCCACGACAUACUUGUAUAGCUCAGAUCAUACAGGAAAGCGACUAACUGUCUUUAAAAACAUGAACGCGAUAUUAAAUAGUGCUUCAAUUAAGAAGUCGACCUAAUAUACAAUAUACAACGUUCGAUUUUUGUUUUCAAAUUCAAAUAAAACAGGGACAUGUGUACCAUUCUUUUGGAAAAGAAAAAUUAUUGAGAAGACGCUAAUAACCUCUUGAAAGUUCCUCGAUUUCAGAUAUAUUGUAUCGAGAUUCGUCACUCAAUUUAUUUGAAUCAAUUAACCAACCAACUUGAUGAUAUUCCAGAAUUCCCACCUCAUUGGAAACUAUUUGGGAAUGUUUAAUUCUGCUUUUGGAAGUUUGUAAAUAUUCAAUUUAAUAUUUAAAUGUGCCUUCUUGCCUGUCCCUGUUGUAAUUGAAAUGUUAAAUAAAUUUUAACGGUUCUCAUCUUUCAAAAGAUUCUGUUAAUGACAGGUUUGAAAUUCGAGCUAAGAAAAUUAAACUUUUUUUAUUAUAUUUAAUUGAUAUAAUAAAAAAUAAUUCAGUUCAAAGUUUAGUGUUAUUUGUUAGAUAUGUAUAUGAUAGAUAAAACUUUAACAUUUAAGAUUUCAAUUAAAUUAUAAUUUUCUGAACUAAAAGAAGACAUAUUGUGUAAAGAAAUAAUUAACCAACUUAUCUGUCCCUAUCUAGCUUAUCUACACGAAAAUAAUUUAUAAAAGGGUGUAAUUUAAUAACAGGUUCGUACAAUAAUACAAAUAUGCAUAUUCAUACAUACAUAUUAAUAUCUUUCCUAACAUAUCCAAACAUAUUGAUUUUUUAAAUUAUUUGUGAUGAAGAAUGUUGUACAUAUGGGGAAACAUACUAAAAAAAAACAAAACUCGUAACUUUUUUUAGGAAUAAAUUGCACUCGGUUCCUGUGGUUAAAAUAAAGCUACAUAUUUUCAUUUUUACAUUAACAUAUUACACACAGUAUCAUAAUGUCUUUGCUUAUUAAGUUCACUAAUGAGUACCUAUGUCUUGAUUUUGUGAUAUUCUUUUAGAAUCUUCUAAAUUGAAACAAACAUCAAAUUGUAACAAUCAUACCAUAAGGUCUUGUACACAAAAAAAAUAUAGGAGUCCGGGAUGUUCGGGCAGUAUAGCCAGUGAUCAGAUUCGACGCAAAAAUGUUGCAGUCCGGGGCCACCAGAUCUGUUCGCCGGGAUAGCUGAAAAAACGUAUAGCUAUAACAGAAGUAUCAGAUGAACUAGCCCGCUUUACAGAGGCAAACUUUCUGCUGGGAUCAGCAGUGGAGCCCUAUAUCAUAAACCAGAAAUUUCAGUUUGAAGAAAGAAAAGAAAAAUACUGAUAUAGAAACCAAACUUGUGCCCUAAACAAAUUAUAAUCCUUCCGAGGUUUGAGAUUACAUUACUCGUACCCUAUACAAAAAUUAGUGUCCGUUACGGUUACGUAGACACGAGUGUGGUGGAAACGGAAAAGGCAGAAUCUUAGUUACCAAUGCUCCUAGAAUGAAUAUUAUAGUAAAAAUAGUCUUAGGAUUUGCAAACGUUUUUUUAAGAGGGCAGGUCGCAGAACAUGCCCCAUUUAUAAUAUACAAUCCAUUGCUAAAUUA